AUGAACGCUAGCUACAGGCUUAACACAUGCAAGUCGAGGGGCAGCAUGGUCUUAGCUUGCUAAGACUGAUGGCGACCGGCGCACGGGUGAGUAACACGUAUCCAACCUGCCGUCUACUCUUGGACAGCCUUCUGAAAGGAAGAUUAAUACAAGAUGGCAUCAUGAGUCCGCAUGUUCACAUGAUUAAAGGUAUUCCGGUAGACGAUGGGGAUGCGUUCCAUUAGAUAGUAGGCGGGGUAACGGCCCACCUAGUCUUCGAUGGAUAGGGGUUCUGAGAGGAAGGUCCCCCACAUUGGAACUGAGACACGGUCCAAACUCCUACGGGAGGCAGCAGUGAGGAAUAUUGGUCAAUGGGCGAGAGCCUGAACCAGCCAAGUAGCGUGAAGGAUGACUGCCCUAUGGGUUGUAAACUUCUUUUAUAAAGGAAUAAAGUCGGGUAUGGAUACCCGUUUGCAUGUACUUUAUGAAUAAGGAUCGGCUAACUCCGUGCCAGCAGCCGCGGUAAUACGGAGGAUCCGAGCGUUAUCCGGAUUUAUUGGGUUUAAAGGGAGCGUAGAUGGAUGUUUAAGUCAGUUGUGAAAGUUUGCGGCUCAACCGUAAAAUUGCAGUUGAUACUGGAUAUCUUGAGUGCAGUUGAGGCAGGCGGAAUUCGUGGUGUAGCGGUGAAAUGCUUAGAUAUCACGAAGAACUCCGAUUGCGAAGGCAGCCUGCUAAGCUGCAACUGACAUUGAGGCUCGAAAGUGUGGGUAUCAAACAGGAUUAGAUACCCUGGUAGUCCACACGGUAAACGAUGAAUACUCGCUGUUUGCGAUAUACUGCAAGCGGCCAAGCGAAAGCGUUAAGUAUUCCACCUGGGGAGUACGCCGGCAACGGUGAAACUCAAAGGAAUUGACGGGGGCCCGCACAAGCGGUGGAGUAUGUGGUUUAAUUCGAAGCAACGCGAAGAACCUUACCAGGUCUUGACAUCCAACUAACGAAGUAGAGAUACAUUAGGUGCCCUUCGGGGAAAGUUGAGACAGGUGGUGCAUGGUUGUCGUCAGCUCGUGCCGUGAGGUGUCGGCUUAAGUGCCAUAACGAGCGCAACCCUUGUUGUCAGUUACUAACAGGUUCCGCUGAGGACUCUGACAAGACUGCCAUCGUAAGAUGUGAGGAAGGUGGGGAUGACGUCAAAUCAGCACGGCCCUUACGUCCGGGGCUACACACGUGUUACAAUGGGGGGUACAGAGGGCCGCUACCACGCGAGUGGAUGCCAAUCCCCAAAACCUCUCUCAGUUCGGACUGGAGUCUGCAACCCGACUCCACGAAGCUGGAUUCGCUAGUAAUCGCGCAUCAGCCACGGCGCGGUGAAUACGUUCCCGGGCCUUGUACACACCGCCCGUCAAGCCAUGGGAGCCGGGGGUACCUGAAGUGCGUAACCGCGAGGAGCGCCCUAGGGUAAAACUGGUGACUGGGGCU
rnacentral:rRNA from 1 species